UCUCGCUCGCUUCGUCGACCACCCCACGCCGUCGCCGCCAAAAGGAUAGCUAUGCUGGUUACGUGGGGCGCCACCUCGUGCUGCCGUACCACGCGUAUGCUCUGUCCGAUGGGGCUGUCGUGGAGGUGGGCGUCCGCGGGUGCGUCGCGGUGGCAAUCCGAGGAGGAGGCUAUCGCGGCGGGGUGGUGCAGCGUCCGCAGAAAGGGGCGCUGCUGCCGUGCUCAUUGCCGGGCACGCAGACGGCGGAGUCGAGAGGGGCAUGGUAAUCCUCGGAGGCCCUGGCGACCCGCUCACCCCUGGGUGGACCGCCACGGCCGGGGUGGAGCACCUUACCAACCUAUCCACGGCCGGUGCGCACCCCUCGUUAGGUUUGUUGGUGUAUGCCUUGCAGCGGCAAGACCUGCGAGCUUGCCGGAGAAGGAAGGAGCAGCUCAUAGACAGAUCGAUCUGAGCGCGUUUUGUAGCAGCAUCAACUCCUCUCUUCAGCGACCCCUCACGGCCUCAUUACCUCCGUCGGAAUCAAUCUCAUCCAUCCAGGCACGCAACAAGUUACCAGUUCUAGCAUGCAUAGUUGUUGAUUGAUGAUAAAUAACUAAUUUUGUCAUAUGCUGCCCUACGAUCUCCCUUCUAAUUAGCUCUCUCAUGAUUGGUGGUAACUGUUGGUCCCUGUGAGUUUGCUGACUAUGUGUUUGUGGAAUUGCCUCCUAGCAGUAGCUGUGGAAGAGCUAGAGAGGGAGUUGAGAGAGGAGCAAGGAUGACUAUGCCAUGAGGUGUUGCGGCUUACAUGGUGUUUACAGGGAAGUGGAUGAGGAGCAAUAUAUAUGACAUCAUUACUCAUCCUGAUGUUUACAAGGAAGUGGAUGAGGAGCAAGUGGAGCGGGAACGAAUGGCAGCUAGCAAUUCGAUGAGGAUGGAAGUUAGAUGUUGCUGGAAUUAGAUGGCAGUCUUUUUUCAUCCACCAUAUUAGCAAUUGGAGUUGCAAAGUUGGUCAAGAGGAGGAUUUAUCUAUCAAUUCGUCUUGACUGUAUAUUCAAUCUGAAGCAAUUUUCUCCCAUCUCUCAUAAUACAGUUCGUGAAGGUAUAAUUUCAUAUGCUGCCACGUUUAUUUUGGGCCCCCUUAGGAUAAAACUUUGAACUACUUACUAACUUAAAUCAGGUUAUAUCCUUCAAUAGAACAACAUAGAAGCGUACAACAAUUCUGGUUACCCUUAUGUGAAGAUUGCAAAUCAUACAGCAGAGUGAAUACUAAUUUUUUAUAACAAUACAUUCAUAGAGCAGACUGGUACAGCACGCAACGCGCGCGUUCCACUCUAGUCCAAUUUAAUUGCGGUAUAGCCAUUAUCCCCAUCAUCGCUUAUGUUCUGAUCAGAUAAUGUGUCACUUUAUAUGCAAUCAAGAUGUUAUCUAGGAUGAUUUCCGUCCAGGGACAAAGGCGUUCUGUAUGGUACGGGACAUAUAUAAUCUCAGGCAAAUUUUUCUUCAACUCAUUUGCAAGCACCCUAGACACUAUCUUGUAAAUCACAUUACAAAGACUUAUUACGGGCUGGAGAUCAGUUGUCUUGUCAGGCUCUUUCACAGUUGGGAUAAGAGCUAUACGAUGAUCUUUUUUUUAGAAAAAUGAUCCUUUAAUUUUUAUUUUAAAACUAAACUCUCUAAAACUUAUAUCCAAAUCAGAACAAGUAUUGUUGCGGUGGAAGCAUUAUCUAACUUAAUGGCUACGCCAGUGCAAAAACGUUAUUUAAUUGGGCAUACCAGUCAAAAUGGUAUAGCAGAAGAACACUGUUGCACCAAGUGCUUAUGAUAUCCCCUUCUCCUAUAUAUUUCAUCCACAAAGAUUGAUUUUUAGAAGGCCACGUCAUCGUUAAAUCA